AUACGUAGGUGGCAAGCGUUGUCCGGAUUUAUUGGGCGUAAAGGAUGCGUAGGUGGAUAUUUAAGUGGGAUGUGAAAUACCCGGGCUCAACUUGGGUGCUGCAUUCCAAACUGGAUAUCUAGAGUGCAGGAGAGGAAAGUGGAAUUCCUAGUGUAGCGGUGAAAUGCGUAGAUAUUAGGAGGAACACCAGUGGCGAAGGCGACUUUCUGGACUGUAACUGACGCUGAGGCACGAAAGCGUGGGGAGCGAGCAGGAUUAGAUACCCUGGUAGUCCACGCUGUAAACGAUGAAUGCUAGGUGUGGGGUGUCAAAGCUCCGUGCCGCAGUUAACACAAUAAGCAUUCCGCCUGGGGAGUACGGCCGCAAGGUUGA
rnacentral:rRNA from 1 species